rnacentral:lncRNA from 1 species
GCAACGUUGAGCAACUGAGAAAGUUGAGCAUGCCAAUGCUUAAUUAGUCCUUCUGCAAUCAUGUAUGAAAAUUCAUACACUUGGCUGCCUGUAUGUGGAGUAAAAAAUAUUCCUGAUGGAACUUUAUGUUACCACAGCGGCUGCUGCAGAAGAUGUGGCAUCUACCCCUUUGGAUACUGCCUCCGCGCGCACCUUUCUUCUCUGCAGUUUUACUAAGAGGAAUCUUUCGCCACCGUGAAGUUUUGACUAGCAGAUUCUGUGCAACUACUUCUAUUGCCCCUGCCAACUACUUCUAAUGACCGUGUCCAACUGAAAACAACUAUGUGUGCAACUAGAACUAUUAUAGAUGCCAACAAAAAAUGAUUGCCGUGUGUGCAACUUUCCAAUGACCGUAUCCAACUGAAAACAACUAUGUGUGCAACUAGAACUACUAUAGAUGCCACCCAAAAAUGAUCGCCGUGUGUGCAACUUUCCAAUGAUCGUGUCCAACUGAAAACAACUAUGUGUACAACUAGAACUACUGUAGAUGCCAACAAAAAAUGAUCACCGUGUGUGUAACUUCCGAAUGACCAUAUCUAACUAAGAACAAUUAUGUGCAUAAUAUCUAGAAGUACUAUAGAUGCCAACAAAAAAUGGUCGCCGUGUGUGCAACUUUCCAAUGAUCGUAUCCAAUUGAGAACAAAUAUGUGUGCAAUUAGAACUACUAUAGAUGCUAACAAAAAUGAUCACCGUGUGUGUAACUUCCCAAUAAUCGUGUCCAACUGAAAACAAUUAUGUGUGCAACUAAAACUACUAUAGAUGCUAACAAAAAAUGAUUGCCAUGUGUGCAAUUUUUCAAUAAUAGGAUCUGUAUGUGCAACUACAACUACUAUAUUAAUGAUCGUCUCCGACGAAAACAACUAUGUGUGCAACAAGAAUUACUAUAAAUGCCAAAAAAAUGAACGCCAUGUGUAUUCAGUUCAAUGUAUACCGUUCCACUUUCACCACUGUAGGAAAAAGGUUUAGUGUUGUGCAACUUUCUAAUUGUCGUAUCCAACUGAGAACGGCUAUGUGUACAACUACAACCACUAUGGAUGCCAACUAAGAAUGUGAAGAUCAAUAUAUCUGAAAAAAGUGAUACAUACAUUCAGCAGAAACAGAGGGCAAAAAUACAAAGGAAUGAAACAGAUAAAAUUGCUGCUUACGAAUCAAUUGCUGCUUCUUCUGCUUCUACACGGAGAUAUAUUGGCUGUGAGGAUCGAGCAACUACUUUGCUUUGCAUGCUAUAACCCCGAAGGGCAUCCUCGUCGUUCAAUAGUCGUUGGCCGUCGUUGUUGCAACAGCAGUCACAUCGCGGGCGCGCGAUAGUUGGUGUUGAGUUCAGCGAGGAUGCAGGCCGAGAGCCACGCAGGUGGCCGCCGGCAAGCACCUUAACCCCACACGGCUAGCCCUUCGUAAUAACGUACAUUCAUUUGGAUAUUACACACAUCAUCCUUCAUUCUACAGUACAAGUAGACAAGAGGGAUGCAUACCUGCUUAUUACAAUUCUCAGCCCGUGUGGACAACGGCGGAAAAUUUUGACAUCCUUGCUUAUCUUCCUCUUGAGCCACUGGCAGAGCUGCGCUGGGUUCGCCUUCCCUGCCACGGCCACGACUCUAAUGCCGACGUUUUCAUCCUUGUCAAACCAAAAAUCAGGCAAAAUGGAUGUUUCUGAAUGCUCUUGUGCAACUGAAAAUCUUGAGAUGCCAAUUAUUUAGAUACUCUUGGGAAAUGAAAUAUUCAGAUUUCAGGCUUCUAGAAGAAAAACUCGACCACAAAAAUAGAAAAAAUAAUAUAAAUGACACUCAAAUUUUACUAUUUUGCUGCGCCAACUCCAUCAAGUAUUAUGCACAACUUGUACUACUGAUUUUGCCACAGAGACACCCAAAAAAAUUGGGUGCGCAACUAGGACUACUUUUCCAUCCAACUAAAGCAGCAGUGCUGGACAACUCCUACUGCUUCGGCGGCCAACUCUGCAUACUAUUAUCCAUAUACCAAUUAUAGUUCUAGGUUAGUACAGGAUGUUUGUGAUGCUCAGUUCGUGGCUUGCAACCCAACACAACCAACCCAUUCAGUUCAUCUACUGCUCCUCUCUCUCUCCCUCUCUGCUUUCCUGGCAAAGAACGCAUUUGAAAAAUACUGUAUUUAAAUUCCAUUUGAUUGUCUUCUCAACAUGUAUUGUUGCACAUAAUUGGCACUAUGCUACAAACCUAUUGAGAACCAGGCAGCUAUUUAUUUAUUGCAAAUCUUCUGGUAACUAACUAGAUAGAUUACAUAGUACAAUAAGUUGGCCCUAAGAAUUGAAGCAAAAUUAACCUGAUGCCUUUGUUGAGCUUAGAGCUUCUUUCUCUGCAUCUCCAGCCUCCUUUUCUUCUCUCAUAUGAGCCCUUGACAAAGCAUCGGUCAUAUCCGAUUCAUAGGCAUGGCAGCAUCGGCUUCAGGAGAAGAGGUACAUCUGUUCAAUGAAUUUCCUGCAAAGCAUGGCACAUACUCAUUUGUUUGGCGGGUGAAUAGAGAAGCAGAUGUUGCAGAAGAUACAACGAAGGGCAAAAUCAACAGAUUUUAGCGGGUGGACCGGCCUGCUGCGUGAUCUACAUGGUGGCCUUUUCCCGACGGGGCGGCGGCGACAGCGGCGGUUGGCCACCUCAGAUCCAGCUCCUAAAAAGUGGGGGAAAGGAGACGGCAGCGCUGCUUCUGUAUGGCGCCGGCCGACCGGCUCGCUGGGCUCCUCCAAUCUACCGCCUCCCCUUCGACCUCCCCGGUGUGGACGCCGGUGCUCCUCUCCUUCUACACCACUGUCGAGGAAGAAAGGGAUCGAGAUAAGAC